CGGGGCGGGGGCACUGUGGGACUCGUACGGGAGGCAGCAGUAGGGAAUCUUCCACAAUGGACGCAAGUCUGAUGGAGCAACGCCGCGUGAGUGAAGAAGGCUUUCGGGUCGUACAGACUCUGUUGUUAGAGAAGAACGUCUGGCAGAGUAACUGUUCAGCAGUGACGGUACCACCAGAUAGCCUGAUCUACUGGCACGUACUGCUGCCUCCCGUUUGGUGGCGGGUAGUUCUGGGGGAAAGUUGUUGGGCACUCCGCGGGGGAAGAAAGAUGGUUUCGUAUAUUGUUAGAAGGAUAAGCGUUAAGAGCCCGGGUAUUGCCCCUUAUUACCGUGCAACCACCCCGUAUCAA
rnacentral:rRNA from 1 species